AAGUCGUAACAAGGUCUCCGUAGGUGAACCUGCGGAGGGAUCAUUAAAAGAGUCUCGGUUUUGGAAACAAAACCGACCCUUCAACCCAAUUGUAUUACCAUUCCUUCGUUGCCUCGGGGGGAAAGAAUCUCUCUUGCCGCGAGGCGAGGGAGAGACCCCCGGUGGACAUACCAAACUCGUUUUUAAACCAUAAAGUCAGAGUUAUUUGAUUAAAAUCAAAACAAAACUUUCAACAACGGAUCUCUUGGUUCUGGCAUCGAUGAAGAACGCAGCGAAAUGCGAUAAGUAAUGUGAAUUGCAGAAUUCAGUGAAUCAUCGAAUCUUUGAACGCACAUUGCGCCCUCUGGUAUUCCGGGGGGCAUGCCCGUUCGAGCGUCAUUACACCUCUCAAGCAUAGCUUGGUAUUGGAGGCAUGCGAUUGUCCUUUGUCGAUCGCACCUCUCGAAGUCACCGGCCGAUUCAGUCGUUUCUCCGGCGUUGUGAAUUUAUCAUCCGCCUGUUGGAAAUCGAAGGGAUUUCGUCGCCGUUAAGCCCACAUUUCAUUAAAGGUUGACCUCGGAUCGGGUAGGGAUACCCGCUGAACUUAA
rnacentral:rRNA from 1 species